AUUGUUUGUUACUAUCUUGAUGUUUAUUUGCCAGAACUGGAUCCAUUCGUCUUGAGAGGGAGGGGAAGGCUAAUGAAUUCAUAGAGAUGAAAACACAGAAAUGUUCAAUACAUUUUGAGUGUUAAUAGAAUGACCAGAGGGAAUGGGUUAAAGUAGAGCCAACAUUACUAAAAGUUAAUAAUCAUUGCAAACUAGUACCAGACCAAGCAAAAAACAUCUUGUUCUAUUAGUUAGCCACUUCGUUACUUCAAUAUAUUCAGUGAUCUUAGACAUAGACCACAACACAUAUACAGUCAACAUUUGAAGUGGCUAC